GACAGUUGUUGGGCAGCCGAGCUGUUUGGAGUCUGUUCCUUUAUCCAUUAGUUACCACCUUCAUCAAGGUCAAGCAGGACCCAUCGGGUCACUGGAGCCAGCACUGUGGAGGGGCUUUGGUCCCAGCAGUGAAAGGUUCUGGCCUUGGGAGUGUGCCUGCUCAGGAGUCUUGGGAAUGGCCUGACUGGGAGGUUUCCUGAACAGAGACCACAGAACCUGCAAACAGGGGAGAUUGAAAUAUUCCAUCAGAAUUAGUGAUUAGUAACUGGCUUCACCUCUCUUAAAUCUUGAGACCUGGUGUAACCAUUAAGGAAUCCAGCCCUUCCUUGGGAGUGCCUGGGAGUCCCUUCACUGAGCAGAAGGUGUGGAUACCACCUUUCAGCAGGGACCUCCUGAGUUGUGGCUGUUGCUGGGAAGAUGCACUGUUUUCCAUCCCUUUUGCUGUUUUCUAGCAGAAGUUCUGCCUCCUCCUAUAUGUGGAAAUGAAGGAGCCUUUUUGGAUGCGCCGUGUGUUGGAAAGCUGCGAUACUUGUGGUGGAUUGGUUUGCUGUGUCCUUGGAGCACAGCCAGAAUAAAACCUGGAGCUGCAGUUGAGGGUUUGCUGUCCUGAA